GUGUGUGUGUGUGUGUGUGUGUGUGUGUGUGUGUGUGUGUGUGUGCGCGCGCACGCGCGCGCACACGCGCUCAGUUGGAGGCUGUGUGGGUGUGGGGCACAGGCUGCCCCUAGGAGAGGGCAGAUGCAUAAUACUCUGUUUGUGCACUGAGAUCCCAGCUCCUGGGGUGGCCUCUGGCAACUGCUGAGGCCUCACAGUGAGAAAUCUGGAACAACAAAGGCUGGAGGACAAAAAGGUCUCUGGCCGGAGGGGCUGCUGCCUUUCACAGGGCCAAGAGCUUCACUUCUGAGGGACGCAGGACAACCAAAGAGUAGACGAGGGGGCUGAGAAGUGAACAGAGUCAAGCCACCAGUCAGCAGCCAGAUCUUGCUUACCCACCCCUUGUCAACAUCAGGUUCAAGUUAGCAUGCAUUUAUGGAGCACCUGAUAGGAGCUAAGCAUGGGCCCAGAGAGAACAGUGAGGAUCUGAACUGUUCACAAGCGGCUGGGAAGGCACAAUAACCAAUGCAUAAGAGCAGUUUCUAUCUGAAGUGUCAUCUGAGCAGAAUUCUAAAGGAUAAGCUGGAGUAAGAUAUGCGAAGAUAAGGGGAAAGAAAAUUCCAGUCAAAAAGAUGAGCAAUUGGAUAUGACUUUUUCAAAUAUAGAAACUGAUUGAUUUGUUUUCUGAUCUACUUCUUUGUUGUUCCCAAAAGAUGGACCAUGAACAUUUCCUUUUAACCUCUGGGCAAAUUGAAGAAUCAAUCAGAAGUGAAAAGAACUUCUCAGUUGCUAACCAUUAGAUUCUGAAGCUAAGGGGCUUCCAUGUCUGCUGUGAAAGGACAAGAAGGAGGCCUGGGGCUGUGGGAACUGCAUCAUGGCCGGAGGUCACUGGAGGCAGAGAAUGUGUCUUCCCCAGCAGAGAGUCCUCCAGACCAUCACAACAAGAGGCGUCUAGAUCACUACUCCCACAUUGGUCCCUACAUACCCCAAGGCAAGUAUCAGCACUCCAGAAAGAAAUGGAUUCUCUCACAAUGAAUGUAUAACCUUGCAUGAUUUUUAAGUUCCAAGGAUGGCAGAGACAUCUUGGAGCCAACAGGCCUAUGACUUGCAGAUUGAGAGCACCCAGAUGUGACCCUGAUUCUCCGUGUGGAAAACAUCCAAGGACAAGACCUCUUAGGCUUAUGAAGGAUUCAAGAACCUUGGCAUAACUCUAGAAACAGAGAAAUACAAGUUCAAAUCAAGAUGAGAAAAUACAAGAACUCAAUGUUCUUGCAAACCUCGGGCUGACAGCCGAUUUGUGCAGGUCACGAUGUGAAUAAGGGCAAAGCAGGACCUCUGCUCUGAGCAAAGUUACAAGAGCAGUACAGUGCUGGGGGGAUCGCCCUGUGGGCCUUGGCUUAGUCUCUAGUGAUAGGAUGAAAAAAAAAUGUACGACCUCAAAGUCUAUGGGGACACACCCAAUGUGUGAUGGAAGAGAGGAGGGAGGGACUCCAUAAUCUGUUAAAGUAUCCGGAAAAUCUUCAUGACUGACUUUGGAAGAUAGAAAGAAUCCGAGAAGUGAUGAAGGCCACAGAGUUGAGGUGGUGCAGAGUGUUUGCAAGGAGCUGGCAUGCCUGGACUACAGCAUAGCCAUGCCUGGCUUGGACAGGGGUUUAGAGGGAGGAACAGGACAUCCAAGGAAGAGGCCGAUGGGAUGGGGUCAGAGUUCCACCCGAUAAAGAAGAAGUGGAAAAGGCAGAAUAUAAAGUGAAAG